rnacentral:rRNA from 1 species
AUUGAACGCUGGCGGCAUGCUUUACACAUGCAAGUCGAACGGUAACAGGCCUUCGGGUGCUGACGAGUGGCGAACGGGUGCGUAAUGCAUCGGAACGUGCCCAGAGGUGGGGGAUAACGCAGCGAAAGCUGUGCUAAUACCGCAUGUGAUCUGAGGAUGAAGGCCGGGGACCAAGCAGCAAUGUUUGGCCUCGCGCCUCUGGAGCGGCCGAUGUCAGAUUAGGUAGUUGGUGGGGUAAAGGCCUACCAAGCCGACGAUCUGUAGCUGGUCUGAGAGGAGGACCAGCCACACUGGGACUGAGACACGGCCCAGACUCCUACGGGAGGCAGCAGUGGGGAAUUUUGGACAAUGGGCGCAAGCCUGAUCCAGCAAUGCCGCGUGCGGGAAGAAGGCCUUCGGGUUGUAAACCGCUUUUGUACGGAACGAAAAGGCUCUGGCUAAUACCUGGGGCUGAUGACGGUACCGUAAGAAUAAGCACCGGCUAACUACGUG